rnacentral:rRNA from 1 species
AUUGAACGCUGGCGGCAGGCCUAACACAUGCAAGUCGAGCGGAUGAAGGGAGCUUGCUCCUGGAUUCAGCGGGGGACGGGUGAGUGAUGCCUAGGAAUCUGCCUGGUAGUGGGUGAUAACGUCCGGAAACGGGCGCUAAUACUGCCUACGUCCUGAGGGAGAAACUUGGGGAGCUUCGGAACGCACGCUAUCAGAGGAACCUAGGUCGGAUUAACUAGUUGGUGGGGUAAAGGCCUACCAAGGCGACUAUCGGUAACUGGUCUGAGGGGCUGAUAAGUCACACUGGAACUGAGCCACCGUCCAGACUCCUACGGGACGCCGCAGUGGGGAAUAUUGGACAAUGGGCGAAAGCCUGAUCCAACCAUGCCGCGUGUGUGAAGAAGGUCUUCGGUUCGUAAAGCACUUUAAGUUGUUGGGAAGGGCAGUAACUUAAUACCUUGCUUUUUUGACGUUACCAACAGAAGAAGCACCGGCUAACUUCGUG